rnacentral:lncRNA from 1 species
GACAACCAGCCUUGCUCACGAAGCGUCAGCCGUAUCCUUUCUGUGUGCAGUGGGGUGUGGGUUGUGUGGAGCCGCGGUGUCUGUGGAAUUCACAGGCUGGGGCCGGAAUCCAUGGCCCCCGUCGCCGCUGCCACCCCCCAGGUGCUGGGGUGACCUGAUCCAGGGUUGGGGUCUAAGCUGCUGGGGGGUUGGAGUCUUGGGCUCUGGCCCACGUCCGCCUCUGAUUGGUUCUACCACCUGAGCCGGUCACUGACCCUCCAUGGGCCUCAGCUUACCCUAUGGUAAAGUGAGAACUAGGGGGUCAGACUCCUUGAUCACCAAGAUCUCUGACCACAGCCAAGGCUAAGGGAAGCGCAGGAAAACGUGGGGCUCGUCCAAAUUCCCAGCCUCUCUCUGCCCCCUGGUGGACGCCGGCAGCCUAGCACCCGGGGGGAGAUGACCCCGACACUGUGUGACCUCUGCCAAGGCACCCAUCCCUCUGAGCCCCAGUUCCCACCGGUUACAUAGGAAUGAUUAUAAUACCCACCUCUUUGGGCAAUUGUGAGGAGGCAAGGAGAUAAUACAUGCAAAGUGCUUGGAUGGGAUGGGUACUAGCCACUCAACAGAAGGCAGAUCCUAGAAUGGGGAUGGCAAGUCCUGUCAUCAGUGAAGAAUGUAAUGACUGCAAGCUUAGAUGACAUGUCUGUUACUGGAAACCAGAGUUGUUUACUUAAGCUGUAAAUGAACUCAUAGUCCCUGGGAUAAUUAUCUCACCUCUGGAUAAAUAAACUCAACAGCCUUAUGUAUUUUAUUAAUUUUUCUUAAAAAAAAGCUUAAAAUAUUUUUCCUUUGAUUUGUUCUCUUUCUUUGGUUUCUGACUUUAUUAUGUCCUUUCUUUCUGCUUAGGCAUUUGUUUUAUUGCUCUUUUUUCACCAACUCAAACUGAAUGGUCACCUUAACAGUUUUAUUGAGAUCCAUUAUUUAUUCUUCUCCAUCUUGUUCUGUGUUCCUGGAAGCCAACCUUUAUAAGCUGCAGGAAAUGGAUUUCCUACUCUCCACCUUCUGAUUGGGCUUGACCAACGGGGAGCACUGGCAGAAGACAAGCAUGGGAGGAAAAAGAGAUCAGGGCUGGAGUGCAGUGGCGUGAUCUCGGCUAGCUACAACCUCCACCUCCCAGCCGCCUGCCUUGGCCUCCCAAAGUGCCGAGAUUGCAGCCUCUGCCUGGCCGCCACCCCGUCUGGGAAGUGAGGAGCGCCUCUGCCCGGCCGUGACCCCGUCUGGGAACUGAGGAGUGUCUCUGCCCGACCGCCACCCCAUCUGGGAGGCCCAGCAUCCAAUUCAGUCGCCUUCAAGGAGUCUCUUCAGUCUAAUUUAUUCUAGAACAAUUCUUCAGGCUUCCCUUCUCUGGCCAAGAUUUUUGAAAAAUACAGGUCAAUGACUUUGUAGGUUGUCUUCAGUUUGGAUUUGUCUGCUGUGUCCUCAUGAUUUAUGCAUCUCUGGCAGGAAUACCACAGAAACGAUGCGACAUUCUUCUCAGUGUACCAUAUUAGGAGUCACACAAUGUCAACUUGUCCCAUUACUGCUGAUGUUAAUGUUUACCACUUGGCUAAGAUGAUGUCUGCCAGGUUUCUCCACUGGAAAGUUAACAGUAUUUAGUACGUGUUAAGUGAUGAGUAAUGAAUAAAUAUUUCAUAGGGA